rnacentral:lncRNA from 1 species
AGCCAAUGCCUGAAAUAAUGAACUCCUCCAAGGCAAGAAAUCUGUUUUGAAGCUUCUCUGCGUUCACACACAGCAGCCUGGUUUCCUGGAAGGGCAUUUUCCACAUUGUGCGUUAUGGAUGAUCAUCCCAGGCAUCAGGUGUGAAGCCCUGCAUCCACAUCCAGGGGCUAUCAAAUCUCUCUGCAAAAGGAGAAGCUGGACUCAGUUCUGUGAAGGAAGCUGCAGAAGAAAAAGGUGAAAGAGGUGAGGAAGCUGCAGAAGAAAACCUGGAAGUUAGCAGAGCUUGAUCCAGAGGUUUAAGGAAAGAAGCCAUCUCCAUAACAUAAAAGUGCAAGGUGAAGCAGCAAGUGCUGAUGGGGAAGCUGCAGCAAGUCAUCCAGAAGAUCUUGCUAAGGGUAUGCACAGAUGUGGAAACAGGAACUGAUGUGUCCAUUACACCACUAGGACAGAGGCCAGAACAAUGAAGAAACCAAAUACUUGGAAGAGGGUAGAGAUAAUGAAUGGAGUCCAAGAGCCCUGAUUGUGCCAUAAAUGUCCAGAUAAUUCCAUACCUGAGGAUUAUGUGGUUUGUAAACUUGGCACUUAGAAGAACCAAUAAAAUCAUGUUAUAGUUUC